rnacentral:rRNA from 1 species
AUUGAACGCUGGCGGCAGGCCUAACACAUGCAAGUAGAACGAGUGGCGGACGGGUGAGUAAUGUCUGGGAAACUGCCUGAAGGAGGGGGAUAACUACUGAAAACGGCAGCUAAUACCGCAUACAAUCGGAUGUGCCCAGAUGGGAUUAGCUAGUAGGUGGGGUAAAGGCUCACCUAGGCGACGAGCCCUAGCUGGUCUGAGAGGAUGACCAGCCACACUGUAACUGAGACACGGUCCGGAUUCCUACGUGGGGCAGCAGUGGGGAAGAUUGCGCAAUGGGCGCGAGCCAGAUGCAGCCAUGCCGUGUGUAUGACAAAGGCCUUCGGGUUGUAGAGUACUUUCAGCGGAGAGGCGUUACCCGCAGAAGAAGCACCGGCUAACUCCGUGCCAGCAGCCGCGGUAAUUC